rnacentral:rRNA from 1 species
ACCUCAGCUCAAGCAAGAAAACCCGCUGAACUUAAGCAUAUCAAUAAGCGGAGGAAAAGAAACUAACAAGGAUUCCCCUAGUAACGGCGAGUGAAGAGGGAAAAGCUCAAAUUUUAAAUCUACCUGGUUCCCAGGUCGAAUUGUAUUUUGAAGAAUCGAUAUUUGUGUUGAGGUCUGGUUCAAGUUCUUUGGAACAAGACAUCAUGGAGGGUGAGAAUCCCGUGCAUGAUCAGACCAAGAUACUUUAUAUUCGUUUUCUAAGAGUCGAGUUGUUUGGGAAUGCAGCUCAAAUUGGGUGGUAGACUUCACCUAAGGCUAAAUAUCAGCGAGAGACCGAUAGCGAACAAGUACUGUGAAGGAAAGAUGAAAAGCACUUUGAAAAGAGAGUUAAAUAGUACGUGAAAUUGUUGAAAGGGAAACGAUUGAAGUCAGUCAUGCUAGUGAAAAUUCAGUUUGACGGGUUUUGGGUUUAGGAGUAAGAGGUAGGGUCAAACCGUCUCUCUUUUAAACUUGGGAUUUGUCGGAUGCACUUUUUCUUUGGCAGGUCAGUGUCGAUUUCGGGGGUUGUAAAAUACUUGGGGGAAAGUAGCUCUGCUUCGGGAGAGUGUUAUAGACCUUGGGAGAUACAGCCUGUGGGAUCGAGGAUUGCAGCAAAUGCCUUUGGCUUGUCGCCUGAUCUUUGGUUGUUACCUCGUUUAUGACAACAUUCUUGCCAUCGAUGAGUACUAAUGAUCAUGGGUUAGAACGAUCAAAAAUUUGCUAAGGAUGCUGACGUAAUGGCUUUAAACGACCCGUCUUGAAACACGGACCAAGGAGUCUAACAUAUGUGCGAGUGUUUGGGUGACAAACCCGGAACGCGUAAUGAAAGUGAACAUGGGUGGGAUCCUCCUCGUGGGGAGCACCAUCAACCGAUCAGGAUAUUUUUUGAUAGAUUUGAGUAAGAGCACAUCUGUUGGGACCCGAAAGAUGGUGAACUAUGCCUGAAUAGGGUGAAGCCAGAGGAAACUCUGGU